rnacentral:misc_RNA from 1 species
CAGCAAACGCAUUAAGCGCCCCGCCUGGGGAGUACGGCCGCAAGGCUAAAACUCAAAGGAAUUGACGGGGGCCCGCACAAGCGGCGGAGCAUGCGGAUUAAUUCGAUGCAACGCGAAGAACCUUACCAAGGCUUGACAUACAGAGUAAUCCGGCAGAAACGUCGGGUCCGCAAGGGAUUCUGUACAGGUGGUGCAUGGUUGUCGUCAGCUCGUGUCGUGAGAUGUUGGGUUAAGUCCCGCAACGAGCGCAACCCUCGUUGUAUGUUGCCAGCACGUGAUGGUGGGGACUCAUAAAUA